rnacentral:ncRNA from 2 species
AAAAAAGAGACGCUUUCUGGUGCCUUCCCCUGGGAAGGCCGGGGCCUGACAAAGGUUCAGACCCUGCAGGGAACCCGGUUUAAUUCCGGGACGGACCCGCCGCUGUGAGUGAGGACGACCGCCGCAACCGGUCACUGUGCUGCAGGUUUAAAGAACGAACCAGCACGGGAAGACGCGGCCAUUAGGAUGAUCCACGAGUCAGAAUACCUGCCAGACAGGCAAAAACAGA